UACGUAGGGUGCGAGCGUUGUCCGGAAUUAUUGGGCGUAAAGAGCUCGUAGGCGGUGUGUCACGUCGGCCGUGAAAACCUGCAGCUUAACUGUGGGCGUGCGGUCGAUACGGGCAUCACUGGAGUUCGGCAGGGGAGACUGGAAUUCCUGGUGUAGCGGUGAAAUGCGCAGAUAUCGGGAGGAACACCGGUGGCGAAGGCGGCUCUCUGGGCCUGUCCUGACGCUCAUGCGCGAAAGCUAGGGGGAGCAAACAGG
rnacentral:rRNA from 1 species